AUCGUGCAGCUGAAACACGAACAUCUGCCGUUCACUUGUGUGAACCUCUGUUUUCUGGUCCAAUGGAGAACAUCUUAAUUGAAUUGUUUUCAUUGAAAUCUGCUCCCCCCUUCAGGGAAGGAAGUUAAAUUAAAGUCUGCUUCUGGGUUCUGUUAAAGUCUUUCUCAAACUGAGCAAUCGUAUGAGAUACCGAAGGAGAUUUUAUUGGUUUUUUUUUAAGAAAAUUAAAAAGCAGAAUUGUAAUAAAUGUAAACUUUUCAGGGGUAUUUCAUUUAAUAACUAAUGAGAGCUGUAAGCAUAAGCUUUUGGGUUAUAAGGUUAGUAAGGAGACGAUUCAGAUUGUGUUGGGCAAUGAGCACAAGCUGGGAAUGGCAAACCAAGUAAUGAUGGA